rnacentral:rRNA from 1 species
CGUGAGGGAAAGGCGAAAAGAACCCCGGCGAGGGGAGUGAAAAAGAACCUGAAACCGUGUACGUACAAGCAGUGGGAGCACAGGUUUACCUGUGUGACUGCGUACCUUUUGUAUAAUGGGUCAGCGACUUAUAUUCUGUAGCAAGGUUAACCGUAUAGGGGAGCCGUAGGGAAACCGAGUCUUAACCGGGCGUUAAGUUGCAGGGUAUAGACCCGAAACCCGGUGAUCUAGCCAUGGGCAGGUUGAAGGUUGGGUAACACUAACUGGAGGACCGAACCGACUAAUGUUGAAAAAUUAGCGGAUGACCUGUGGCUGGGGGUGAAAGGCCAAUCAAACCGGGAGAUAGCUGGUUCUCCCCGAAAGCUAUUUAGGUAGCGCCUCGUGAAUUCAUCUCCGGGGGUAGAGCACUGUUUCGGCUAGGGGGCCAUCCCGGCUUACCAACCCGAUGCAAACUGCGAAUACCGGAGAAUGUUAUCACGGGAGACACACGGCGGGUGCUAACGUCCGUCGUGAAGAGGGAAACAACCCAGACCGCCAGCUAAGGUCCCAAAGUCAUGGUUAAGUGGGAAACGAUGUGGGAAGGCCCAGACAGCCAGGAUGUUGGCUUAGAAGCAGCCAUCAUUUAAAGAAAGCGUAAUAGCUCACUGGUCGAGUCGGCCUGCGCGGAAGAUGUAACGGGGCUAAACCAU